UGUGGCAUGAAAACAGACCUGAUUAUCUGAACCUGCAGCUCUUCGUCAGCCAGACAGAUUUCAGAACAUUUCUAAGGAGAGGUACCACCCUCUGAGUUCCCGGCUGCUGAUUGGCCGACCGAGGUGGAAGUUGCUCUUUGAGGAGAUAGGGAAGACCAAUAAGCAGUGAGUAAAAUGUUUGGAAUGUUUAAAGACAUCUUCUGAUUGGAUCAUUUUGGGAUAAGUAAUAAAAAAAUGGUAAUGUUGUGUCAACGUU